rnacentral:misc_RNA from 1 species
GAUGAAGAACGUAGCGAAAUGCGAUAACUAAUGUGAAUUGCAGAAUUCCGUGAAUCAUUGAGUCUUUGAACGCACAUUGCACCCUCUGGUAUUCCGGGGGGCAUGCCUGUCCGAGCGUCAUUGCUGCCCUCAAGCACGGCUUGUGUGUUGGGCCUCCGUCCUCCUCCCGGGGGACGGGCCCGAAAGGCAGCGGCGGCACCGCGUCCGGUCCUCGAGCGUAUGGGGCUUCGUCACCCGCUCUUGUAGGCCCGGCCGGCGCUUGCCGACACAUCAAUCUUUUUUCCAGGUUGACCUCGGAUCAGGCAGGGAUACCCGCUGAACUUAAGCAUAUCAAUAAGCGGAGGA